CCCAGUCCUGGAGGUGCCUGGAACAGCCCCGGAGUCUGCGUCGGCCUGGUUAUUUUGGACACAGGUCGAUUGGCCACCAGUCAGCUAAGACUCCUCCUCUGGGGAGCGUCCCCGACCCUUGGGCUACAGUGUGUCCUUCGGAGUGGACGAGCAGGAAUGGGUCCGGUGCUGCAGGGUGUUCAGGUUCAAACAGAAGCAGGCAUCAGCCCAGAACAAGCUGUUGCAGAUAGUGAAGAUGGGAAUAGAGGCAUCUGUCAGACACUAGAAACUGUCUUUGCUUCAGGUGGAGGGCAUAGAUGACCACAAGAAGCAGCAGUCAGGCCAGCUGGGUUUCUGCUUCCCUAAGCAGCAGUACAGGGGCCUGCAUAGGACCCAGGUACAGAAGUGCCGUCAGCGUGCCUGCCAAUGUCUCCUCGUUCUCCAGAUCUCUUCAGGAGGAUGUCUUCUUUCUUACACCAGGCUUCAUCCAGAAGAGGGCACAGCUGCUGUCAAUGAUCUGGAAGGAAUUUGUGGAGGAGAGUACCAGGCGUUGAGCCCAGUGCCUUCACACUGAGCAGGCUCCCCAGCUCCUUUAUUUUUUACUUUUAGAAAGGGUCUCUCUGUCCCCCAGUGCUCAAAUGCGCCAUCCUCCUGCCUUAGACACCGGAGCGCUGGGGUUACAGGCAUGCACCAGCACACUUGGUUCGCCGUUUCCUUUUCUGAGAGUGAAAGUUUCACAUGUAAACUAAAAUGUUCACAAUGGAGCUCUGUGGCUUGAUUUAAUCAUAGUGAAUUAUCAGAGUAUAAGAACAUACUCUUUUGAGAAGUACAGUCUGCUUUAAAAAAAACUGGUGAAGGAAUCUAGUCCAAUAGGUAUUAAUAAACAUGAGUGUAACUUCAUUUAAAUACACACACAAAAAAAAACUUACGGAAUAAGUGAGAUUUAUAGACUUCUCUUUACAUACAUUUUGUCAUUUUUCAAUAGCCACUUCUCAACACCUUGGGACAGGCAUUAACACUUGGCAGAUAAAGACAGUCAGAAGAUAAGUCAUUUGUCUGAGUAGCGACAUGGAAAGGUAGCCUUAAAGCCUUGCCCUUGUUACCUUUCCUAACAGGUCAAAGUCAUGCCUGUUUAGGUGCCAGGCACCCAGGAGGCCUUACCGACACUCAGCCAUGUGCACUGCACUGCCCGGCCAGGGUGACCCAGUCCACUUGUAAUCCCAGUCUUCUCAGCAGGUCUCUCCAGGGACUAUGGCCUAUUCUCCCCUAGAACGGAAAGAGAAGUCAGGCUUAGGUUGAGCAAUGAUCUCUGCUGGCUGCUUUUCAAAGCUCAGCUCAAAUGUUUGUUACCUGUACAGAAAUCAGAAACUUAGAACAAAAUGUCAAUCAACUCCAUUGGAAGUCUAACAAAUUUUCAAUCAAUGCCAUCACUACAUAACACUGCUUAAUCCAGCUGAUUUUCAUCAUGGCAAAUCUGUCAACAAAUGAAGCAGUACACUGAUUGACGUUCUCAAGCAAGCUCCUACUUUGUCUUGUACGGUAAUGAACAGUUCUCAGACCAAUCAUCCUUGGUAAGACUGGAGAACACUCCUGACACCUGCUGAAGAAAAUCAUAACAACUCUUAUUUAAUAAUAACAACAGUAAGAUCUUCAUGAGAAUGAACCUUAAAGUAAGGACUUGAAGUGAUUAUUGUCAUUAAAUAGCUCCUAUUUAUUGAGCGUGGUUCUGUGUACUUGCCUCCAUUAUCUCACUUAAUCUUCUCAAGGAAAUCUUUGUAAAUAACUUGAUCUUGGUUAUACCGAGUGAGGGACUUGAAGCCCAAGAAGCUGUGGGACAUCCCAGUAAGUCUCAGCUGGGCCUUGCACCCAGGCAGAUUCAUUGAAUUCCAAACAUGUAUUUUCCGCUGACGAACGUGAGCUUUUAAAAGCAUCCAUUCAACCAUAUCUUUCCCUAUUUAAAAUAUGAAACCUAAAACUGAUUUUAAUGGUCUCCCCCCGUAAACAGAAUAAAAUUGUAAUGCCUAACCCUGACCCACUAGGCCCUUAUGAUCUAGCUCUAGUCCUCCUUACCAACCUCCUCUACCCACCAUACGAGCUACACUGUCCUCACUCUGGACUUCAAAAUGGUACCCCUCUGCUAGGAGGUUCUGCCCCUUAGGCCUUGCCAGGUAACUACUGUGCAUCCUUUUAGUUGUGUGGGAAAGUCCUCAAGAAGCCCUCUCUGACUCUCCAGUCUAGACUCAAUCAAAUACCCACCUUCCCUUUGGUCUCUCUCACUCAGUUUUAAUGUCUUUUUGACCACUAAUUUUCAGGGCCUAGGAUGACACAGAAUUUUUGUUAGUUCUCCAGUGUAUCCUAAUGUUUGAUAGCUCAGUAUUUGUGGGAGAGAGAAAUGAGUGUACAGAUGGACAAGUGAGUAAGUGAUGGGGUCCCUUUAGCAAGAAAAAGCAAAGUACAGAAUCCACUUAAACCUUGACGGUGGUGUGGAUAAGAAAUCUGAAUGUGCACUGGGAAACCAUAUUAUUUUACUGUGUAUGUGUGUAUCCACAUGUGUGUGGGGGGGAUCUGUCCUACAGUUAACCUAUUGGGUUUUUUCCAGGUACUUUAAAGCUUAAGGGGGAACUGGGGAUAUGGCUCAAUGGCCCCGAGUUCCAUCUCCAGCAGUAUUGAGAAAAGCUAAAAGGAUAGGGGCCGAGGGAAUAGCUGAGUGGUAUAGUGCUUGCCUAGUAUGUGCCAGGCCUGGAACGGGGGACUUAAGAAAAAGGUGGGAACACGAAAAACUAACAAAAAGUUCCUAUACAGAGUCUAUAAAGAAUUCCUACAUGGUGGCACAUGUCUAAUCCUAGCAUUCUGGGAGGCUGAGACAGGAAGAUCACAAGUUUAAGCCAAUCAUGGGCAAGUUAGAGACUUAGGAAGAUCCUGUCUCAAAAAAAAAAAAAAUCCUACAAACUAGUAAAACACACACACACACACACACACACACACACACACCGACAAACCAAUACAGUGAGUAAAAAACCUGGAUACCUCACAAAAGAAGGUAGCCAAAUGGCCAAUCAACUUAUGAUCUAGUGCUUAUUACAUUAGUUACCAAAAAAAUCUGGCUGGGAUACCACUUAACACUGACAAGAAGGCUAAAACCAAAAAGACUGAAAAUAUCCCAUGCUUACAAGGAAACAGAGCGACUGGCGCAUUUGCUGCUGGUGGUAGUGUAAAUUGUUAAAGCCACUUUGGAAAACCAAUCAUUAGUUUCUAAUAAAGCUGAGUGUGUGCCUACUCUAUAAGUGGCGUGCACUUCUAGGGAUAUACCCAGUUUAAAUGCAUACACACGUUUACCAAGAGACAUGCGCAAGUGUUCACAGGUAAAGGUACAUGUGGGGGCUCAUGCCUGCAGUUUCAGCACUGAGGAGACUGAGGCAGGAGGAUCACUGCAAGUUUGAGGCCAACCUGGGCUACAUAGUGAAUUCAAGGUCAGCCGGAACUACAGUGAGACUGACUCUGUUUGCCCUUAGCCACCUAAGUUCCCUGCAGUGGCGAUGUGGAGCUGCCUGAGCUCCAGGAACAAUCGCAGCCCAACUCCCACACAGCAUACUCAGAUAGGCAUCUUUUUGAGCGAAUGUGUGGAUGACCCUUUCUUCUGGGCCCCAUUUCCUCCACUCAUUCCCUUUGAGAUUACCCGCAGUCACUUCAGGCCAUUUGAGCCCUCCUCAGAGCACAAGAUGACUCACUUCUUGCCUGGCCUUCACACUCACUGUUCCCCUCUCCCUCACCCCCCAGCAGGUCCUGCUCAAAAGCCUUUAAAAGGCCACCAUUCAACCGACAUGGGAAACACCCUACCUGGUCCUCCUUGCCACCCUGAUUUCUGUUGCCCUUCCACCCUGCUCUUAUUACUGCCCUUAAAACCCAAGACUGUCAGGCUGUUCUGUGCCUCCUCCACAAAGGCUUCUCCCAGAAAGCUACCUGUCAUUCUUGUGAGUCUUUCACUCCCUAAACUCACUAGCUUUACCUUUCCCAUGUACAAGAAUUAAUAUCCUUCCCCCCAAACUCAGCUUCAUUCCAGAAAACUAAUCACCUCUGGCUCCAGGAUAUCUUCAUCAAGUUCACUCUAACCCAGAUCACUUGUUUACUCGUCUGCCUCCACAUUCUAUUAAUCCAGCCAGCAUGUGGCCCAUAACAAUGAUGUCCUUGGGCUGUUCAGUUAAUUCCUCUCCUGGCAGGAGUCAAACUAGCCACUACUGCUGGCUGUGGGCCAGCCAGAGUGAAAGUCUCCAUUCAUCUUUUCUCAAUGCUCUCCAAGCAGGUAGCCAAAAGUCUCAAAUCUCCAUAAAAUUCUCCAACCUUCAAGACCGAACUGUCUUCCUGAUAACAGUGGCAGCAAUUAUCCUCCGAAAACAAAUGGGCCUUGCCAGGUUCAGUCCAGCCCCAUGCCCCGUGGCUGCCCAUGCCAGGGUCAGUUCUGAAAAUAACUUAAGUUCUCAACUAAGAACAAAUAAAUUUCACUGCUCUGCUGCACCAAGACUAUUAUCUCCUGCUCAGGGUAUUCCUGAGAACUUAAUCUCCCACCUCUACUGCCCUGCCUUCUGCCUUUUCCAACUGAACUCCCCCUUCCCUUCACCAUUUCUCUACCCUCUCUAUGAAGGUAUCAGGAAGUUUAAAACAUCUCUAAUGAACUCGCUAACCUGCAAGAUCAUAUCAGCAGGUUUCUGUUGUGUUCCAAAACCAGAGGCCUAGGCUUGCUGACCACAAACACACGUACACACUCACAAAAGGUGGUAUCUCUGCCUUUCACCAGAAAAGCUGCUGUUUCUUCACCAAGUCUUGACUCGUAUGAGCUGGUGUCAUGUUCAAGCCACGACCCUAUUGCAUUUCCUGAAAAUAAGACCUACCUGGAAAAUAAGCCCUAGCAUGAUUUUUUAGGAUACUCAUAAUGUAAGCCCUAGUCCACCCGGUAUGGGAAAGAGGGCCUGCUGUCUCUGUGAAUAGAUGUAAGCACUCCAAACUUUGAGGUCACUUAUUUAAGGAAGACUUGCCACCUCCAGAGCCUUUUCUGACCUGGUAGGAAAGAUUUUUAUCCAUACUGUAAAGAUGUCAAUGCACACCAACAGGUGUAUGCAUCCCUUACACAUAGGCAUGUGGGUGAAGUCUGUUUGCCAAUCUACAGUGGAAGACCCACACCUUUGUACCAGUUCAGGCGAUGGGGAAGGAUGAGUCUGUGGAUUAUGGAGGGAACAGAGAGGACAUGCUUUACAAACCUGGUAACACUGUCGUGAACUACAGGCUCUACAAAAAGCCUACAUGCCAUAGCGGUGGCAUCUUGCCUUAGAUGGAAGACAUCAAUGACUUUCUGCUGGACUCACUGUGGCAAGAGAAGUUACCAUCUCAUAUACCAAUACUGGCCCUUUUGAACUCUUUCCUCAUUUUAAGUCAUUUGAAGCUCUUCUGUAGAAUAGACUGGUUCUAAGUCCAGGUUCUAGAAGGGACCAUUGGUAGAGAUAAUGAUGGGCCAGAGUUAUAUUGAAGAGCAGCCUGUUUGGCAGUGCAAUCUGCCUUAGAAUUACCCUGGGAGACAAGUUCCAAGGAGGCUUGAUAUCCCUGGUAAAGGGCAACUGCUACUUCAUAGAUUUACUGCCUUGGGAAGGUUGAGGAUCUCUAGUCCAUGUUUUAUUGGAGACUGGUGACUAGUAAAAAGUCCUCUUAGUUUCUAGAUGACUGCAUUGUGGUAGGACCAGAAAGGCAUACCUAGAGUCAGUAUAUUGCCCUGUGAAAGUUGGAGACCCCAAGUGAGAGCAAUAAGUUUGGCCUGGCAUCCCAGGGGCAAGUCUUCUUGCUUCAGUGACGUGGGUGGGGCUGACUGUACCAUCACCUGCUCUUUUAAUACCAUCUGUAAUAAAGCUGCUACCAUCAGUGAACUAUGUGUUAGCCAUCCCUGUCAAUGGCUGGUUCCUCAGAUUGAGGUGGCUGGCAUAAUCCUGGGGGAUGGCUUGCCCACACUCAUGUUCUAUCUAUUGUUUAGUUGGGAACAGGUUGGCUGGAUUUAAAGCAGUGCAACACUGAGGAGAAACAUCUGGGUUUCCAAAAAGAAUGUCCUCACGUAUAGUGAGCCUUAAUGUGGUAUGGAGUUAGAACUAAGAGCUUCUGUCCCAAAGUUAUUUUAGAAGCUUCCUAGACUGAGAGUGCUAUAGCAGCUAUUCUCUCAGGCAGUGAGGCCAAUUCAGCAACUCCAUCUAUUUGCUUGGAAAAGUAUGCAACUGGUUGGUUUUCUUGACCUGGAUACUUAGCAGUCCUAUAGCUAUUUUUUUUUCCAGCCACUAAAAGAAAAAAGCUUAGUUAAGUCUGGGAUUCCUAAUGCUGGGGGCUGCAGGACCCACUUUAGGGCUUUAGAAGCCUCUUGUGUGUCUUUUAUUCGUUUCAAAUGUUCAGUUUCUGGUCCUUUGGCUAUUACUCCAAAAUGGGGUAUCCAUGUGUAGUAGAAGCCUGCCAUUCCUAAGAAAGCCCUCAGCUGCUGUUAGAUUCUUGAAGACCCAUACAGAGAGUUGCCUCUGUUCUCCUUGGGGACAGUUAUCUUUGUCAUGGGGUUAAAAUGUAUCCCAUAAAUGCAACCUUUUGAGAAAUCUGGGUCUUUAUGUUGGGACACCUUAUAACCCCCUUUUCUUAGAAAAUUGAGUCUUAAGAGAGUUUUUUAAAAUCAGAUGACUCCUUAGUGAGAUUACAAAUGAAGAGGUCAUCUCCAUACUGUGGCAGACUUCUCUUUUUAAAUUUUUAUAUUUAAUCUCUCAGGUCUUGAGCUAAAGCCCAUGCAAACAAGUGGGGGCUAUCUCUAAUACCCUAUGCCAAGGCAGUACAGGUAUACUUUUGGUGAAGUCCUGUCUGGGGAUCUUCCCAUUCAAAGGCAAACAAAUAUUGGGAGUUAGGAUCCACAGGAAUAGAAAAGAAGGGGUCCUUGAGAUUGAGGACAGAGAAUCAGUGUCUACUGGGACCUUGCUAAAAGGGUAUAUGGGUCUGCUACUAAUGGGUGAGUAGGUACCACUGAGUUAUUGAUGGCUCAGAUAUCUUGUACUAGGCAAUAUUCUCCCCAUAGCUUGACUAUUGGUAAAAUGGUUGUAUUGCACAGGAACUGGAGUGGUAUCAAUAACCCUGUAACCAAAAAUUUGUCCAUAAUGAGAGUUAGCCAUCCUAGCCUAACUUUUUUCUUAAGGUAAUACUGUGUAAUGUGAGGAUAUAGAUUAGGGUUUUUUAGUUGAAUGAGUACUAGAGUGGCCUUGACACCUCUCCCUGGGAUGCCAUCAUAUCAUUCUUGGGGAUCAACCCCAAGCAGAGACAUUGAGUCCCAUGGGGUCAGGCUGCCUGAGUCCUUAGCAGUGAGGACACAGGUUGUCAGAGGUUUGCCUGUUAGAGUGGCCUUGAGUAGGAAAAGCAUAUCUCCUUCAGUUACCGGUAUGAGGCACUCUAGUAUCACCGUAAGGUAGCUUGGAAAAAGCAGUCUUCCAGGUGACAGUUCAGAAAGCUGAGUAAAGAAAGCUGUCCAGUUAACUCCUUCAAGGCCUGCAACAACUUUAGAAUGGAAUGAAAAUUCACGCCAAUAAAAAACUAGAAUGGAACAACUCAGCUCAGUAGCGCAGAGAAAUAUAAUUCAUUCACUUACCACUUUGAGAGGCCCCCCCCAAGCUCUUGUAAGGUGAUGGGAAUUCACUUGUGUUGGAGGCCUGCAGGCCACCUCGGGCACCAUCAUUCAUUGUCCAGGACUUCUUCCUGAGCCACCAUGGUGGUGGAUGACCUCAUCCCUCUCUGGGAAUGAGAGCUGUCCCUCUUCCAAUGCUAAAGCUCUUCUUCCAUGUUAUGACAGGCCUAGUGAGAGUUAGGCAGUUUCUGAGGGCAUUCCUUCACUCAGUGCCCCUGUUGCUUGCAGUUGAAGCACUCUGACUUGCUUUCAUCACUCUUUGGAUUACCCGGAAUUCCCUUAGCACUGAGGAUUUGUCCAUGAGAGCGAGCAUGUCUUCAGCCUGCUUCCUUUCCUUAUUCAACUCUCAUUUGUCUCUAUUCUAUCAUGUUUAUUAAAAACUGAAUAAGCUACACCAACCCAUUAACUUUAUCUAGGACUUUCUGGAGCUUUUUCCUAAUAUCUGAAGGCGACUGAUUAAUAAAACACUGACUUUGGAUAAUCUGACCUGUAGACUCAGAGUCUAAAUUGAUGUAUUUACAAUCUCUUCAUGCUAGCUAGAGCUGAAAAGCAGCUAGAUUUUCAUCAGAACCUUGACUAAUAGACCUGAGCUUAUCAUAGUUCACAUGUUUGGGCACCUCUUGCUACAUACCCACUAAAAUGGCCUUGAUAUAUAACUUUCAUUUGGCUUCUCCACCCUCUGUGUUAUAAUCAGACUCAGGCCUCUCUUGGGAUCCAAAUAACACAGCAAUAGGCUGGUUAUCAGAAGGUGCAGCUGUGUGGGCUUCAUCAUUAGCCUGCUUUGAAGCCCUUAUAAUCCUAUUUCGAUCUACUGCUGUGCAAGAAGAAACCAGGAAGAAUUGAGCAUCUUACCAGGUCAGAUCAAAAGCUGUUGUUAGGGUAUGGAAAUCAUCAGCAAACUUUUCAGGAUCCUCAGAGAAUUGACUCAGUUUUUUUUUUUUUUU